UAAUACGUAGGUGGCGAGCGUUGUCCGGAAUUACUGGGUGUAAAGGGCGUGUAGGCGGGGAGACAAGUCAGAUGUGAAAUACCGAGGCUUAACUUCGGGGCUGCAUCUGAAACUGUUUUUCUUGAGUGUCGGAGAGGAAAGUGGAAUUCCCAGUGUAGCGGUGAAAUGCGUAGAUAUUGGGAGGAACACCAGUGGCGAAGGCGACUUUCUGGACGAUAACUGACGCUGAGGCGCGAAAGCGUGGGGAGCAAACAGG
rnacentral:rRNA from 1 species